UAGUCCGGCAACACCUUGAGCAGAGGUACAUGGUUAAGUUUUGUUAGCUUUGAUGUUAGAAAAAAAUAAUGCCACCUGCGGGUGAAAGGUUGGCAAUGAAAAUACGAGAGCAAAUGGUUUGUUCAUCCUGGCCAAUUAACAGAAUUAGGUGCAGGCGGUAGCAUGAAAACGCUGUCGAGCAAUAGUUCUCAACCGCAAGCAAUUGCAACGAAGGAACUAGGAGAAAAUAAAAAGACAUGAGCUCAGGAGGUAGGGCGGGUCAUCCAGUAAAUUGAAGGAUGCUGAUUUCAAAUCUCCCCCUCCCCUUGCUGCAUGUCGCGGUAUCUCUGAGCAAGACACUGAACCCCCUGAACCCCCCGUUUUUGUUUGUUUGGAACAAGCCACGAGAAGAUUAUCAAGAUUAACAAGUAUGCAGGUUUCAGCUGCUUCCCUUCAGAAACCCAUGAAUUGGAAAAGACAAGAAGGUGGAUCUGGACUUCACUUAUGAGUGGGAACAAGAGGCAGCUGACCUGCACCACGGUCAACUGAGCUAGAUCCUUGUCACCUCUGUGUGUGACCAAAAAGAUGGCGUAUUCAUCCAAAGCUUCCGCCCUUUGCAGCCCCAUCUCAUAGCAAAGCUCCUCGAUGGCAUCCAAAGCAACCUGAAAUAAAGAAAUCUUUAUCAUGUUCA